CAGCCGCCGCGGGAAUACGGAGGGUGCAAGCGUUAUCCGGAUUUAUUGGGUUUAAAGGGUCCGUAGGCGGAUCUGUAAGUCAGUGGUGAAAUCUCACAGCUUAACUGUGAAACUGCCAUUGAUACUGCAGGUCUUGAGUAAAUUUGAAGUGGCUGGAAUAAGUAGUGUAGCGGUGAAAUGCAUAGAUAUUACUUAGAACACCAAUUGCGAAGGCAGGUCACUAAGAUUUAACUGACGCUGAUGGACGAAAGCGUGGGGAGCGAACAGGAUUAGAUACCCGGGUAGUCCCUGUCUCUUAUAC
rnacentral:rRNA from 1 species